UAGCGGGGAUGGCUCCCGGGAAGCGGGCCGGCCUCCUGGGCGUCUGGCUCCGGACAGCCGCCUGGCGUCUGGGCCCUGGGUUUUCCGUUCUCUCCCUCGGGUCCCGGAGGGCAGUACCGGUCGCCUGGAGUACCGGGCCGCGACCGUCUGAGCUAGGAGCUGACUCAGCGGCAGUGCCGGAUACAGCCUGACGCCGGGCAAGGUUUGGCCAAACCAUAUGGGAGGCCUAGAACUUUCCUCAGCUCACAGAGGCAGUAGUGGCCCUGCCAGGGCUUGACCCAAGCUGUCUGAUUCUACAGAUCAGCCCACCCACCAGACCCUGGUGACUCCCCAUCACUUACACACCAGUGCACCCUUCUCUCCACAGUGCACCAAGCCAGUGUGACCUCCGACCAGUGCCAUCGGACCCACAGGCACGGAAACAUGCACAAACACCCCGAGCUGUUGGGCCUCCGGCUUGCUCUAGGAAAACGGAAAACAGCUUAAGUUUGUUUGAUGGUACUAGAUGCACCUGAGCCUGUGUCCGGGAGAGCAAACCCGGGAGUGAGGGCCCGUGGCUGCCGCCAUGUGCAGAGAAGGCUUUUGCUUCCUAGUUGCCGAGAUCCUGGUUCUUGCAGGAGAAGAUGACCCGCGGGUUGGUGGUCCCACCCUCGUGUCCACAAGGAGUCCCCGGACAGAUGACAAGGCUGCCGCAAGGCGAGGCUGCUCCUUGCUGGACCCGCUGAAGAGGCACCUGUGAUCUGGUCGACGGGAGGCGAACGAGGCCCCGAAGCUCAGGUAUUUUCUCAGUCGUGCGGGCUCCUACAAAGUCAAGGGGGACAUCCCGGCCGGGAAGGCCCCAGUGGACUGAAUGAAGGCCAGGCCCCAGGUGUCUUCCUAAAAGUGACGUUGUCCCAUCUGACUGCAGCCACGUGCUCUGGCCAUGAGCCUCCCCAGCUGCUGCGAAUGCUGGCGGAAUGGGAAGUGCGCCCAAACACAGCUCCCGUGCUGUCGCUCCCACGGCGCUUCCCGUCCCCUGUCUGCACGGACGCCAGGUGCCCAGAAUGUGUUCAGGGACAGUCUUUUCUCCAGCCACACCCAUGGUGCCAGCCCCUCUGACGGCAACAGAGGUGCCCUGGCCCGG